rnacentral:ribozyme from 17 species
CGACAUCGAAGAAAAGAACGAUAAUGACAAUGAGGAAGAUACCGGAGAAAAACGCGGCAUAAAAGAAUUCGGAGGUCUUUCUACGGGAUCCAUAGUUUUGGCCAUUAGUUCUCUUGUUUUUUCCUUCGUCUUUUAUCUGAUAGGCGUGAUCUCAA